rnacentral:rRNA from 1 species
UCCACGCCCUAAACGAUGUCUACUAGUUGUUGGUGGAGUAAAAUCCAUGAGUAACGCAGCUAACGCGUGAAGUAGACCGCCUGGGGAGUACGGUCGCAAGAUUAAAACUCAAAUGAAUUGACGGGGGCCCGCACAAGCGGUGGAUUAUGUGGAUUAAUUCGAUGCAACGCGAAAAACCUUACCUGGCCUUGACAUGUAACGAACUUUCCAGAGAUGGAUUGGUGCUCGAAAGAGAACGUUAACACAGGUGCUGCAUGGCUGUCGUCAGCUCGUGUCGUGAGAUGUUGGGUUAAGUCCCGC